ACAGGGAUUGCCUCAGUAACGGCGAGUGAAGCGGCAACAGCUCAAAUUUGAAAUCUGGCCCUCGGGUCCGAGUUGUAAUUUGUAGAGGAUGCUUCUGGCGCGGUGCCUUCCGAGUUCCCUGGAACGGGACGCCAUAGAGGGUGAGAGCCCCGUCUGGUUGGACGCCUAGCCUCUGUGAAGCUCCUUCGACGAGUCGAGUAGUUUGGGAAUGCUGCUCUAAAUGGGAGGUAUAUGUCUUCUAAAGCUAAAUACCGGCCAGAGACCGAUAGCGCACAAGUAGAGUGAUCGAAAGAUGAAAAGCACUUUGAAAAGAGGGUUAAAUAGUAUGUGAAAUUGUUGAAAGGGAAGCGCUCAUGACCAGACUUGGGCUUGGCGGAUCAUCCGGCGUUCUCGCCGGUGCACUUCACCAGUCCAGGCCAGCAUCAGUUCGCCUCGGGGGAUAAAGGCUUCGGGAACGUGGCUCCUCCGGGAGUGUUAUAGCCCGUUGCGUAAUACCCUGCGGCGGACUGAGGUUCGCGCUCCGCAAGGAUGCUGGCGUAAUGGUCAUCAGCGACCCGUCUUGAAACACGGACCAAGGAGUCGUCUUCGUAUGCGAGUGUUCGGGUGUCAAACCCCUACGCGUAAUGAAAGUGAACGUAGGUGAGAGCUUCGGCGCAUCACCGACCGAUCUUGAUGUUCUCGGAUGGAUUUGAGUAAGAGCAUACGGGGCCGGACCCGAAAGAAGGUGAACUAUGCCUGUAUAGGGUGAAGCCAGAGGAAACUCUGGUGGAGGCUCGCAGCGGUUCUGACGUGCAAAUCGAUCGUCAAAAUAUGGGCAUGGGGG
rnacentral:rRNA from 1 species